rnacentral:rRNA from 1 species
UACAGAGGUCUCAAGCGUUGUUCGGAUUCAUUGGGCGUAAAGGGUGUGUAGGUGGCGCGCUAAGUCGGGUGUGAAAUUUCGGAGCUUAACUCCGAAACUGCAUUUGAUACUGGCGUGCUUGAGAACUGGAGAGGAGACUGGAAUUCAUGGUGUAGAGGUGAAAUUCGUAGAUAUCGAGAGGAACACCGGUGGCGAAGGCGGCCAACUGGACGAAUACUGACGCUGAGACUCGAAAGCGUGGGGAGCAAACAGG